CCAGGUGUCUGGACCCUGGACAGAUAACAGAAGGACAGUGGGACCCUAGGAGGGACGUAAAGGAGUUGAUGAAAUCCUGUUAAGACAGACAAUCAGAUGGUAUGGCCUCUGAGGACCCCCAAGACCAACUGGAGGAGGCCAUUAACGAGGCAAAAAGGCUGGCUGAGGAGCUCAACCCAGAAUGGAGGUGAUAUGUGGUUGCCUGACAAGCACCAUCCAUGUUGGCCCUGGGAAACAUAUCAUCCUCGUAGGAAUAAAUGGUCGCUACAAUGUCACAGUGCCAGUGCUGACAUGCACAACCUGUCUUACCACCUGGACAGCAAACUUGGCAGAUCUGAUAAAGAAUGGGUUCUGGCCAGCCACUGUCAACUGUGACACCAUAUACCAGAACGGAAUGAUCUGUGGGGACACUUUUCAAAAAAGCUUAUUUGAGUGGACAUACUGCCGCUCUGAAAUUGAUCAGGUCUGCCCAGCCUGUUCACCCAGCAUGCUUGCAGUGUCAGUGGACGGGAACAAGAAGCUGUAUCGAUUUAAAAAAAAGGGACUGAUGACAAAGGAUUCUUUGAUGCCGUAUUUAUCUGCAAGGAUGAAGAUGUGUCUGACUUUGUGAACUAUGUCCAUACAAAGACUAAACAUGGUUAUGGAAAAGGGGUAUGUGGAGCAUCCCAGUGGACAGCAGCUAAAGAGUCGUCAAGGAAAACAAACGACAAACUUGAUGAAGAGGGACUCGAAGUUGCCGUCUGCCACCACGGAAUACUUCUAAGGAGCCUCAACAUGAUGCGUGGAGAGAUAUUUGCGUACCCACUGUUCUUGCAGAAGGAAUUGUCUGGCAGCAGGAACAUACAAUUCAUGUGUACGGAUGUGAUCUGCACAUUUUGGCCAUACCUGACCAAAGUUGCCCUUCAUUGUCCAGAGCUCGCCACUCUUCUAGACAUGAAGCCACUGCUUUCCGUCAUGUAUGCAAAGGCACAUCGUUUGAAAUGCGAGAUUGGGGAGGACGGAAUCAGGAAGGAGCUGGCACAACUCUGGGGGAGGAAGUGGAACAAGGGAACAGCUUCUUGUCAAGGCCUGCAAUCUGUUCCAAGCAAAUGUCCAAAGGAGCAAGAACAGACAUGCUAACCAUCCAGGCCAUGGGGUGGAACAGAAGGAAGAAAAACAACACGCACAGAGUCUGGAAGAUACUUGAAGGUGUAUCAAUACAUUUAUUUUAGAAGUAUUAUAUCUAUGUAUUUAAUUUAUUUUAAAACAAUUCAUUAUUCUGUUUUGUUUUUGUCAUAAUUCUCAGACAACAGCAAAAAUCCGGGAGGAGACCCAGACUCUCUAAAAGUUUAAUAGUGAUUGGGUGUAGGCGAUGAGACUCUGGACAACGGAAGUUCAGCAAUGGGCUAAUACAGAGGAAACAGCUGAGAACACGGAUGGUCCCCAGAAAAGACACCCUCUGCGCAGAGAGAUAUUGGAAGAAAAGGCCAAAUUGACAGCUGCCAUAGAGGAGUACAACACACUUGUACCAGGUUCAGCAAUACCAUCUGCAGAUGAGAUCCUUUCCGCAGACCUUCAUGCAUGGCCUUGGGAGCUGCAUGGACAAACUGACCUACUCACAAAGAAAAUGGCCUUUGACCGGGUGAUGCUCCUGAGACGGCUGAAGGAGGAGGAGUUAAUUGUCAAGCAGCACUGGGAAAGCCUAAAGAGGGAAUCGGAGAAUGUGCAAGACCUUGCUUCACAUGUUGCACUUGACCUAAGCAGGAAAAGUAGGGGAACUUUCAUUAAUAUGUACAAUUGAUGUUGGCACCCUGCAACUGCUAUUGUAUUUAAGGAAUACUUCAUUGUAUUUACCCUACACAUUACGAUUGUUGGUGUUAGGCUGGCAAUUGAAUCAGUCGGAAGCUGGGAGCAGAGGUCUCUUCUCCACGCUUCAGAGGAGAGUCAGCAGCCUCAGAAGACACCAGGACUCUGUCAAACUGAUAUACAGCAAAGCUAUGGGCCAAGACACCUCCCUCCUAGAAAAUAACUUGGGGGUUGUCCCAUCCUGAACAGGCCAGUUGCAAGUGACAUACUCUUAACAAUACUAUUAGCAACACCGUAUCAUUAUUAAAAUUUGAUGGUGAAAAAAUGAAAGUUAUGCAGACAGGUCUGACAUAGUGGGAGAAUUGUGAACAUGCACAUAUAUAUAUAGCUGUGUUGUCACAGCGUUUGGCCACGUCGUCGGUUUGGUCGUUCGGUCAGAUGUGCGUCGCAAUGCCCGUGACGUAAUAGACUAUGUUUCUGAAUUUUCUGAUUACAUUUUUAAACUAUUCAUAAAUUAUUCUUGCGCAAUGUUACUUUCAUUUGAAUGUCGUAAACAUUGUCGGAUUCUAUUAAAUAAUUGAUGUAACAGAUCAAUUCUUAUGUUACAAAAACCGGAAAAGUUGUGAACUACAAAUGUGGCGCCAUUUUGUCGUUUUUUUACUAACCCUAACCGGUUAGUUUUUUAUCAAUAUCUUCGCCAAUAUCAUUCUAAUUGAUGUGUAGAAUGAUAUGUACAUUCAUUAGGACAUGCAUAAUGCUGUACUGCAUCAGCACAUGCCAAUUCAAUGUCUGAAGUAGUGCACUUUUUGAAAUGUGUUUUUCGUCAUAACUAUUUAAGUUUGACAUGUGUGAUUCUUUUGAUUUAAUAAGGACCCCUUACUAAACCUUCAUGUCAAAUAAGGUUCGGAUAUGUUCAUCUAUUCUUGAUAAAAAAAAUCAUCAAAGUUUGGGGAAAGGUCGACUGUUGGUGGCGCUACUGAGCACCCCAUGGCCACCAGGUAUAUGGGAUUGCAUAAUUAUGUUUAAUUCAUGGACAAAAAAACAACAAAAACAUAUUUUUGGGGGACUCUAUGACGAGAGUUGACCUCUUACAAAGGUUCCCUAGGGGUGUAUAAAGGUUCAUGGCAGAAAACAAGUGAAUGUAUAGAAAUGCUUAUAUAAACAUUGUUACAUCGAUAUUGAUGCUUCUAGAAGUUCAAAAAUAGACAUUCGACAGUAUAUAUGUGGCCUUUCAACCCCUAUACCCAUGACCCACAAGGCCGCAUAACCGCACCUCUAUUGGCAUCGUCCUCGGCACAUCAUAUUCCUGAUAAGCAACAAUGAUGAAAAUUAAUUCUCACUGCCUAUUCAAAAAAAGCAGUUGUGAAAUUUUUUGGCUUUCACCUUCAUUAAAUAUUUUCCGUGGACAACCAGCCUGGAGACCAAGCAGAUAGACGGUCUGCCUCUAUGCGCUAAACACGCUGCAUGCCAAUAUGACUCAGGGUGGGCCUAUAUACAACAUAUUUAAUGCAGGUAAAGUAAUAUAUGUAAUAGCAUUAUAUAUACUGUAUAUACAAUCCAUAUAUAUGUAAGCUAUGUUGAUAUACACGUAGUCCUAUGUAUUAUAAUAUAUAGCCUAGCUGCGCCUAGCCUAUAAUAUACUUUGAUAUGAAUUGUGAAGUUCAAGGUCAGUCGGCCAAAAUGCUACAUUCAUCACUUUUGAUGAUUCUUUUGUCAUUACUGAGACGUUCACUAAGUACUAAAGUUGAUUAGCCCAAUCCACUGCUCAUAUCUAAUGUAUGCACAUUGUACUAUGUGCCUUAGCCUCUUGUCAAAAGUAGUGCACUUUCCAAGGGAAUAGGGUGGCAUUUGGAAAUAAAUUAUCCAGUUCCUAUAUCCAUUGAACUAACAUUGUUCCAGUAGAAAGACAGAAGGAAACAAGUGACCUUUAAGUCUCAGAUUUGCAUUCAUUUGUUCCAAACAGAACGUUGUAGCUUUACUAUAUUGGAAAAGGCCCACGUGAAAUGAAGAACUGUGUAUGUUAACCUGUGCGCCUUUUCUAAUAGUGCGCCGGCGUUUUAUUUCAGGACCACGGACAGCUACUGUUAGCUAGUGCGGCAGAAAUGCAGGGUAUGCCGUGGCGAGGUCAGAACCACGGCAGUGGAGACUGGAGAGUGUCACUAACAACAAAAACCACAAGAUGAUUUUUUUUCCUACUGUAAACAUUGGCAUUUCAAAUCACGAUAUGAAUCUGAUCUUCAACCAUCUGACCUACUACUGUCUGAUUCAUAGAGCUGAUUUAUGUUUGUUCUUUAUUAUAUCAACUGAUUGCUUUUGUAUGGGGUGCUUUGGCUGAAAGACCAACACGUUUGAUCUGGAGAAAAAUAGACUAUUAAACGUGCAAAUUAACUGUCUUUAGUAAAUAUAAUUGUAUCUACUCCAUAAGAUAAUCAGCUAUGUGCAUUGUGUUAUAGAAAUAGGCAUAGACUAAAGGUAAACCAUGAGAGUGAAAUUAAACGUAUAUAUUUAAUAACAUAGUAAAAUGAAUCAAUACAAACAUUCUCAACUUCUGACUACUUUAAUACACAUGUGAAUUUAUGGGGGGGGGGUUUAUGUACAAAAUGUGCUGUAAUUUCUAAACGGUUCAUCAGAUAUGGAUGAAAAUACACUCAAAUUAAAGCUGACAGUCUGCACUUCAACCUCAUAGUCAAUGUAUAAUUUCAAAUACAAAGUUCUGGAGUACAGAUCCAAAACAACAAAUGUGUCACUGUUGCAAUACUUGUGUAGCUCACUUUUAUAUGAA